rnacentral:lncRNA from 1 species
UUCAGACAUGAACCAAGCUAUGGCUGUCUUUAUUGAUACCAGCCAUUUAGAAAAAGAAAGAGACUCCAAACAAGUUCACUAACUUGCCAGGAACGGGCAUUCAAACCCAGAGAUGAUACUAUGUCCACACUUUGCUCUCUACACUCUGGAAACGUCUUUUACCCCAAAGGGCUGUACAAAUUGCUCCUACCCCCUUCCCUGGACAGGUUGCAUCUGGUCAUGUCUCCAGAAGGAACAGAAGAGGAGGCUCAAUUUCAGCAGGAAAGGCCUAACAGUAACCCUUGGCAUUUAUACUUCCUGGCCCAGUCUUCUGCUCAUUGGCAUGGGUUGGUGCAACUCCCUUUUGGAGCACUCCUGUCUCAAUAUCCCAUCCUAGGGCUAUUUCAGAAAGUGCUAAAGACCCCAAACAGUAUAUAUAAAAACUUUUAUCAGCCUCGGCUAACC